ensembl:lncRNA
GGAGGGAGUGUGUGUCAUAUCUUGUUGAAAUGCCUUUGGUCAUAUUUCAGAGGAAUCUGUCUCUGCUGGCACCAUGAAAUUAUUCGCCUAGCCCCUGCGCAAGAAAAAAAUGCUAGUUAGAGGCCGACUGCUUCCUUCUGAACGAUCAAACUUGUCAUGCCACCAUGUCUGCCGUGUGCCCACUUAUGCUGGGAAUGUGUUGUUGGAGUCUGGAAGAAUGACGGGGGAGUUGCUCUUCAUGACGGGAGAGGAUGAAAAAGCUGCUCUGAUGUCUCACGGACGUGACAGCGGAUCUGAUGAAAAAAUGUGCAGUGAUGAUAAUGCAAUGUUAAAUGGCUGAACAUUUCUG